CAACCCCAUCUCUCUCGCCUCUGUUUGUUCCUUGGAGCCGCCCCCGCCGCCCACGCCACCGGUCGCCCCUGCCCCGACCCCUUCCGCCGCGGUCGCGACCGCCCCCGACCCCAGCCCUGCCCGACGCUUCCGUUUCCUUGGAUAACCACAACGCUCGCCCGCCCGCCGGCAAGCGAAAGCAAAGCGAGCCAACCUAGCCAUGGAGAAGGCGAUCUAUCGGUAGCGGGUCCUCCUGGCGCACCUUCUCCCCUCCUCCUCUACCAUCUCCUCGCAGCCUCAGCUUGCGGCGUCGACGUGCGCGGCCGGGGAUAGCGCCGCCUACCAGAGGUCCUCCUCCUUCGGGGACGAUGUCGUCGCUGCCUACAGGACGCCAAUAUGCAAGGCCAAGCGAGGAGGCUUCAAGGACACCUACCCAGAGGACCUCCUCACUGUUGUUCUCAUGGUUCCCUUCCCUUCAAGGUCAACCACCAGUGUUCAUCUGGGCUACAGGCAGUAGCCGAUGUCGCAGCUGCUAUAAAGGCUGGUUACUAUGACAUAGGGAUUGGUGCUGGUUUGGAAUCCAUGUCCAUAAAUUCCAUUGCUAGGGAAGGACAAGUUAACCCAAAAAUAAGCGCAUUCCAGAAAGCACAGGAUUGUCUUCUGCCCAUGGGAAUUACUUCUGAAAAUGUUGCCCAUCGAUAUGGUGUAACUAGACAAGAGCAAGAUCAGGCCGCCUCUGAGUCUCAUAGGAGAGCUGCUGCAGCCAUGGCCUCUAGAAAACUCAAGGAUGAGAUCGUCCCCGUGCCAACAAAGAUCGUUGAUCCUAAAACUGGAGAGGAGAAGGAAGUUGUGAUAUCAGUUGAUGAUGGGAUUAGGCCAGGGACCACAACAUCUGGAUUGGCGAAACUCAAACCAGUUUUAGAAAAGCAUGGGACUACAACUGCAGGCAAUUCCAGUCAAGUGAGUGAUGGUGCUGGAGCUGUUCUUCUCAUGAAAAGAUCUGUGGCUCUAAAGAAAGGGCUGCCCAUUCUUGGUGUUUUCAGGUGCCCGGUGCGUGGCUACUCUUCUAAAUGAAAUGAAGCGUCGGGGCAAAGACUGCAGAUUUGGUGUUGUCACCAUGUGUAUCGGAUCUAGAAUGGGGACAGCAGCUGUGUUCGAGCUGUGUUCGGCCCGGCUGGAGGUAUCGACCAUCACUCGUCACUGUAACCCGAUGGUGAUCGGUGAUCGUGAGCUUCCAUGUUAUUGCAUUCUGAUACUUGAGACUUUUAUUAUGACUAUGUAUGAGAUAUUGUCUCUUAUUAGUACUGGAUGAUGAGAUGUGUCUUAUUAUGACUAUGGAUGAGACUUUUGUGAUGUAAUUGAUGAGACUUUUGUGAUGUAAUUGAUGAGACUAUGUAUUUAAAUAUUGUUAUGUGAUUGUGUGUGAGAUGUUUUAUGU